AUGAUGCUUGGCCUGUGUAGGUGACUUUUCACUUAGCUCCUGUCCUGCUUCCCUUUGGGAAGUGGUUCUCAACAGGGGUGGUGGUGUCACAUUUUAAGGAGUGUUUUGGGAUUGCGUGGGACUUUCUUUUAGCUGUCACAGUGUGCUACAGGUAUUAGGUGGUUCCAGAUGUGUCCCUUAAAAUACAGGCAUGUUUUACACAACAAAUAAUAGCUUUGCAAUCUGCUAGAUGUCCAUGUGGGGACAUAACCUGUCUAUAGCUAUCUAAGCUAAGAACCUAACUGCAUUUUACAUAUGAACAGAAAAUAAUUUUUUGCCUGCUUUUAAUAUAUCCAGAAUUUUCCAGGAAUAUAACUGCCAUGUAAAUUGAUGGAAGACCAUAUUUACUUUGUUUCCACUUGGUUAAGAGGGGUUUACAUUUUGGAAAAUUGUAUCCCUGAUGGCAACACUGCUCGUGGUCUGAGUCACCUGCGGUCUGCUGUGGUCUGGCUGUCCGGACUAGGGCAAACAGGGUGGCAUUGAACAUGACAGUCCCAUCACUGUUCAGAGGCAUGUUCAUGGAGACCAGGCGCUGGAGGAGAAAGGGAGGCAAAGCUGGUGAUUACAGCAAACAGUUCUCAAAGGACCUACAGAGCCACCAUGGCAGGAGAAUGCCAGGAGGGAGCCUUGAAACUUGUGUGUGUGUUGGGAGCAGGUGGGGGUUGAGGCAUGGGUCACUAAAAUGUAUUCAAAAUCUGUUCUGGGGAGAAUCUCAGUUCUGCCAUAAGUACUUUCACCCUACCACACAGAGUGAAGGAAGAAUGGAAAUUGUCCUUAUUAGACACUUGCCUCCACAAAAGGAUGGUAAGCCCACACAACCCCCUCCUCUGCUCAAAUGUCUUCUCAGGCAUAUUGGUGUGCUUUCUACUGGCAACGAAGAACAGCUGCAUGCCAGGCAUUUGCCAGGAGCCCACCUGCCAGCAGCAUUCAUCCAAAGCCUUGACAAGAGAGACAGUAAUGGCAGGUUUGCAUGCAGGAGGUGUAGUGUAUCUUCUUUUCUGUAUAUUGAAAAAUAUACCUCUGCAUCAAGCUGAAUUAAAAGCUUGUUGACUGGAUUGGA